GACGUACGCUGGCGGCGUGCCUAAUACAUGCAAGUUGAGCGCUGAAGGUUGGUACUUGUACCAACUGGAUGAGCAGCGAACGGGUGAGUAACGCGUGGGGAAUCUGCCUUUGAGCGGGGGACAACAUUUGGAAACGAAUGCUAAUACCGCAUAAAAACUUUAAACACAAGUUUUAAGUUUGAAAGAUGCAAUUGCAUCACUCAAAGAUGAUCCCGCGUUGUAUUAGCUAGUUGGUGAGGUAAAGGCUCACCAAGGCGAUGAUACAUAGCCGACCUGAGAGGGUGAUCGGCCACAUUGGGACUGAGACACGGCCCAAACUCCUACGGGAGGCAGCAGUAGGGAAUCUUCGGCAAUGGACGAAAGUCUGACCGAGCAACGCCGCGUGAGUGAAGAAGGUUUUCGGAUCGUAAAACUCUGUUGGUAGAGAAGAACGUUGGUGAGAGUGGAAAGCUCAUCAAGUGACGGUAACUACCCAGAAAGGGACGGCUAACUACGUG
rnacentral:rRNA from 1 species